rnacentral:rRNA from 1 species
UGCAUAUCAAUAAGCGGAGGAAAAGAAACCAACAGGGAUUGCCUCAGUAACGGCGAGUGAAGCGGCAACAGCUCAAAUUUGAAAUCUGGCCUCUUCGGGGUCCGAGUUGUAAUUUGUAGAGGAUGUUUCGGGUACCGCCUCGGUCUAAAUUUCUUGGAACAGAAUGUCAGAGAGGGUGAGAAUCCCGUCUUGGACCGGCGGUAGGGCCCAUGUGAAACUCCUUCGACGAGUCGAGUUGUUUGGGAAUGCAGCUCAAAAUGGGUGGUAAAUUUCAUCUAAAGCUAAAUAUUGGCCAGAGACCGAUAGCGCACAAGUAGAGUGAUCGAAAGAUGAAAAGAACUUUGAAAAGAGAGUUAAACAGUAUGUGAAAUUGUUGAAAGGGAAGCGCUUGCAACCAGACUUGAGCGCGGCGGUUCCCCCUUCCUUCUGGUUGGGUUACUCCGCCGUGUCCAGGCCAACAUCGGUUCUGGGGGUCGGUUAAAGGCUUGGGGAAUGUAUCUACUCCUUCGGGGGUAGACUUAUAGCCCCAGGUGUCAUGCGACCUCCCGGGACCGAGGAACGCGCUUCGGCUCGGAUGUUGGCGUAAUGGUUGUCAGCGACCCGUCUUGAACACGGGACCA